rfam:Caenorhabditis brenneri strain PB2801 C_brenneri-6.0.1_Cont60.5, whole genome shotgun sequence.
GCGCGGUGAUGCUCUUGGAUAAGUUUCGGCUGAAUCCACUUGAUGUCAACUUAUGCUUACUGAGCGC